UCAUUUUGGAAUCUUAUGUCUCACAAGCAGGCAUCGAACUGUGUCAGUAUUUGGAUGGUAGACCUCGAGGAACACUAAGCGGCUGAAGGAA
rnacentral:rRNA from 1 species